rnacentral:rRNA from 1 species
AGAGUUUGAUCCUGGCUCAGGAUGAACGCUGGCGGCGUGCUUAAUACAUGCAAGUCGAACGAGGGCUUCUUGUAGCAAUACGGGAAGUUCCUAGUGGCGAACGGGUGCGUAACGCGUUGGUGACCUGCCCUGAAGUGUGGGAUAACAGUUCGAAAGGAUUGCUAAUACCACAUGUGAUCCCGGUUCUAGAAUAUCGGUGAUUAAAGGAGUAAUCCGCUUUAGGAGGGACCUGCGUCCCAUCAGCUAGUUGGUGAGGUAAUGGCCCACCAAGGCUACGACGGGUAGGGGACCUGAGAGGGUGGUCCCCCACAUUGGCACUGAAACACGGGCCAAACACCUACGGGUGGCAGCAGUAGGGAAUAUUGGGCAAUGGACGAAAGUCUGACCCAGCAACGCCGCGUGUGCGAUGAAGGUCUUCGGAUCGUAAAGCACUUUUCGAGGAGAUGAGAAAGGACAGUAUCCUCGGAAUAAGUCUCGGCUAACUACGUGCCAGCAGCCGCGGUAAAACGUAGGAGCAAGCGUUAUCCGGAUUUACUGGGCGUAAAGCGCGUGCAGGCGGUUCGGUAAGUUGGAUGUGAAAGCUCCUGGCUCAACUGGGAGAGGUCGUUCAAUACUACCGGACUAGAGAGCAGUAGAGGGAUGUGGAAUUCCCGGUGUAGUGGUGAAAUGCGUAGAUUCGGGAGGAACACCAGUGGCGAAAGCGACAUCCUGGACUGUUUCUGACGCUCAGACGCGAAAGCUAGGGGAGCGAACGGGAUAGAUACCCUGGUAGUC